GGCAUUAUAUGGUUGACGUAAUCUGGACAUGGUUUAAUGGAUCUGAAGAGAAUUUCAUCUCCCAAUAUAAAACGGAUUGCAUUCAUCAGAAAUGCCUCAAGUGUUUACAGCAUUUACUUCUGUUUGUGUGUUGAAGAGAACAGGGUGGCAAUAUACAAAGCACUUUAAUACUAAAGAUGUCCUACUUAUACUGUAUUGAUGAAUUUUGCAUAACUACAUAAAAUGUUUAUUUUUUGUUGUUUUAACCCUUUAAGCAUGGAUGGGCCCACGGGCGGGCCUGCCGUCAAAAUAUUAAUAACUGCAGUCUUGGGGGCCUGGGUAGCUGAGCGAGUAUUGACACUGACUACCACCCCUGGGGUCACAAGUUCGAAUCCAGGGUGUGCUGAGUGACUCCAGUCAGGUCUCCUAAGCAACCAAAUUGGCCCAGUUGCUAGGGAGGGUAGAGUCACAUGAGGUGGAUCGCGGAGAGUAGCAUGAGCCUCCACAUGCUGUGAGUCUCCGCGGUGUCAUGCACAAUGAGCCACGUGAUAAGAUGCGUGGAUUGACGGUCUCAGAAGCGGAGGCAACUGAGACUUGUCCUCCGUCACCCGGAUUGAGUGAAAUUCUAGUGGAUGACGGUAUUUGACUGAUUCACACACGCUGAGUGUCUGAGGUAUCAGAGGAUGAUUAUAAUCUGAAUUUCACCUGUAUGAUGUUCAGCUCGCGAUGACUGAACACAGAUCCAAACAUUGUUUGGAAACACUGCUGUUCAUUAUCGGAGCUCUUCUGUGCCAAUCAUUCAAGGUGGAGCUGACCUUGGGGGUCAGGAAGAUGUUUCCAUUCUUCUACAAAACCACAGGUAGUCAUAUAAACAGGAAACAUCUUUUACACUUUAGCACAGUUACUUGGAAAUGACCUACAUUACUGCAACUAGAAUUCACACCUUCUGAUGCACUCACAGCAUUCUUAACUGUUUUAAUGUGUUAUUAGUAUAUUAUAAGUAUAGUUUGGCAAUCGAGAAUCUGUUCUUAUACAGAACUGGUUCCAUAUUUAAAUAUAUAUAUACACACACACA